AACAAAACUAUGAUCUUAGAAUGUUUGUGUGUCUGACAUAAAGAAAAGUAAUUAUAGUUGUGGUCAGAAUUACUGGAACCCCUGUAUUUUAUGUGCACCUUUUAAAAUAUGGUCAGAAACGAAUGCAAACAAAGCAAUUUUGUUUAAUCAAAAUAUUUUUAAAAAUGUCCAAUGUUAUUUGGCAAUAAGAACAAAAUAAA